rfam:Pseudozyma antarctica DNA, scaffold: scaffold_v10018, strain JCM 10317, whole genome shotgun sequence.
UCGUGCAGGUCCGGACAGAUGUAGUGCACGUGUGCAUCGAUCGCACCUGCGGUGACAAUGUACUUUUCGCCCGCGAUCACCUCGGUGCACGAGCCGAUGACGAGGUUCGGGUCGACACCGUCCAUGAUGGCUGGAUUGCCCGCCUUGCCGAUGCCCACAAUGUGGCCGGCGCGAAUGCCAAUGUCCGCCUUGACGAUUCCCCACCAGUCGACGAUCAGCGCGUUGAUCACCACCACGUCCAGCACCGCCGCGUCGCUCCGACCCGAUGCCUGGCCCAUGCCGUCGCGG